rnacentral:snoRNA from 1 species
GUGCAAGUCUUUACAGCAAGUCUCAGUCAGCUCAUGGCUGUGCCUUUCCUGGUACUUGCUAGAUUGUUGUUGAUUGUUGUUUGAGACCUUGCUUUAACUUCCCGCAAAGCAAGGUUAUAGAAACUUCACACAUUU